GGCGCCGGCGCGCCGGGGACGUGGGCCGUGGCCGCCGCCGUCUCGCUCCUGGCCUUCCUCACGCACUGAGACGGGUUCAUCGCCGCGGAGUUUUGCGGGUUGUCGAGACGGGGAAUCCUGUGGUUUGGAUUUCCGUUGGAGCGGGAGCAGUGGUGUUUUUAUCUGAGGAGCUUGUGGUUGCUCGUUCUAGUUAUUUUAGGCGUAUUUGUUUGUUCUAGUCUUGUCAUUGGGCCGUGGUGUUGUGUACUGCCGGCCGAUCUCUCUUUUGCCUGUAUAAGAGAGGAAUAUGUUUUGAGUAAUACAAUUCAUUUACUAUUCUUUUAUAAGCUGUCUAUGUGCAUUCAGCUGGUCUCCUAAAGGGCAAAAGGAUUUAAGAAGGGUUAAUUAGAUCCAUGUCAUUAUAAAUUUUAGAACUAACUGUAAGGAUAUCAUUAUAAUUUUAGAACUAUUAGAAAUAUGUUACUUCAUAGGUAUAUUUUUUG
rnacentral:lncRNA from 1 species